rnacentral:rRNA from 1 species
AUGUCGCUCAAAGGCUACCACGAAGCCUCACUGCAUCCGCCGGCUGCGUAUGAUGCGGCGGCGGCGACUGUGUGGGACUGGGGGGAAGCCCUCCUCGACAAGUCCGCCUACAUGGUCCACAAAAAAGACCACCAAAAAAACCAUACUUCCGCCCGCUGUACAUUCAAGAGGAAUUUGGACGACGACGGGGUGGUGGAGGUGGAGAUGCAGGUCAGCCUGUUCUUGGCGCCGCCGCCUCGCGUCUCCUACUCCUGCUGCUCCGCCAACCUCACCGAAGACGACCACGGGGAACAACAAGGCACCCCCCGCCUGUUCGUCCGCGAGCCUUGGGUGAUCGCCACGGAGGGUAACCUUGCCCUCCUCGCCCUCUGCCACGGCUACAACCCUGCCUACUACGGCGAAAGCAAUAACUACGACUACUUCCUCUACGAGGCAGCAGCCUCACCGGCGGGGACGCCGAAACUCACCUGCCUCCCUCAAAUCCAA